GACGAGGUGGCCGAGUGGUUAAGGCGUGAGACUGCUAAUCUCAUGUGCUAUGCACGCGAGGGUUCGAAUCCCUUCCUCGUCG
rfam:Daphnia pulex DAPPTscaffold_99_Cont4393, whole genome shotgun sequence.